UUUCCGUAGGUGAACCUGCGGAAGGAUCAUUAUUGAAUGAACUUGACUUGGUUGCUGCUGGUCUUUUCGAAGGCAUGUGCACACUUUGUCAUCUUUAUAUCUCCACCUGUGCACCUUUUGUAGACCUGAAACCAAAUUUCCGAGGCAACUCGGUCGUGAGGAAAUGCUUAACAGCUUUCCUUGUUAGGUUCCAGGGCUAUGUUUUCAUAUACACCAUAAGAAUGUAACAGAAUGUCAUUAUUAGGCUUAGUUGCCUUAUAAACUAUAUACAACUUUCAGCAACGGAUCUCUUGGCUCUC
rnacentral:misc_RNA from 1 species